rnacentral:rRNA from 1 species
AGAGUUUGAUUAUGGCUCAGGAUGAACGCUAGCGAUAGGCCUAACACAUGCAAGUCGAGGGGCAGCACAUGAAGUAGCAAUACAGAUGGUGGCGACCGGCGCACGGGUGAGUAACACGUAUGCAACCUACCUCAACAGGAGAAUAACCCGGCGAAAGUCGGACUAAUACUCCAUAAUACAGGGAUCCCGCAUGGGAAUAUUUGUUAAAGAUUUAUCGGUUGAAGAUGGGCAUGCGUUCCAUUAGCUAGUUGGUGAGGUAACGGCUCACCAAGGCAACGAUGGAUAGGGGAACUGAGAGGUUUAUCCCCCCACACUGGUACUGAGACACGGACCAGACUCCUACGGGAGGCAGCAGUGAGGAAUAUUGGUCAAUGGAGGCAACUCUGAACCAGCCACGUCCGCGUGAAGGAUGACGGCCCUACGGGUUGUAAACUUCUUUUGUAAGGGAAUAAAGUUUAGUACGUGUACUAUUUUGCAUGUACCUUACGAAUAAGGAUCGGCUAACUCCGUGCCAGCAGCAGC